rnacentral:misc_RNA from 1 species
AUCAGACGUUUUUUGGGUGCACAGCUAGUCUGCAUAUUUUUUUGCCUUGGUUCUGCUCCCCGCAGUGAUUGUUAUAAUUCAGCAGAGCAACUGUGUCAGAGUAUGACUAUACAGUUUCAAAGAGAGAGAUAUAUACGUAAGACUCAGAGAGCUCCAACAAAACAACUAAGGCUUUGUAUUUUUUAAAAGUUUUGAUGUUUCUUCCCUAAUUAUAAUUGCCUGUAAUAUACAGCAAUGUCUUAUUGCUAAUGACCUCUUAAGUUUUAUUGUUUGUUUUGGUUUCCGGUCGUCUUCUAAGAAUAAAUAAAUAAUAUACUCUGUUUCGGCCAUGCACGUUUACAUACUGUUACCUGGGAAGGCAGUACUUCCUUUAUUUUUCAUUUUUUUGGCUAGUUUUUUUCGAAUAGAUAAUUUACGACUUUUAUUUUUAUCCUUUGCAGAUAAUAUUGAAAGAAUUUCUAAUCAUCUUUUAAAGG